UUUUUUUUUUUUUUUUUUGAAUUGACACACAAACUGAUUUGGAACAAGAGUAUGUGACUCGAAACACAAAAGAAAAGAAGGAUAUAACCUGGUGGUUGUCGACUAGCUCUGAUUACCAACUGAUGUGAGACGGAUCUAGACGAACACCAAGUUGGGAUGAUUUGCGGAACUUUGACCCUUCUAGAAUCACGAGCCACGAACUAAGGAGAUUCCUUAACCCACGACUAGCCACUUUAGUGAACCAAAAGUAUAGAUAGAAAAACGCCACAAUCAAGGAGACUACUUGAUUGAUAAGUUCGUUGAACAACUUGAGAUUGAUUCUCAAGUAUUCAAAGGAAAUUCUCUUGAAGCAAGAGAGAGUGAAUAAACUCACGAAUAUGUUAUAUAAUCUGAAUUCUGUCCUUUAAUGAAUGAAAACCUAGGCUAUAUAUAGCCUUACAAGACAAAACCCUAACUCCGCUAGGCUAGGCCUUUGGUCCGAUUCCACUACUCAAAUCCACUAUCUAAUGGUCAGCUUAUAAUUGAUCCAAUGAAGGCUUUAAGCUGGCCCAACAUAACCCAAUAAAAGCUAAUUAACCAACUUAAGUUAUAGUGAGCCUAGACUCUAUAAAUCGGAUCCAACUCAACAUGAGGUCUUGGACCGAAUUUAUUCCUAGCAAAUAAAAUAGAAAUCUAGAAAAUAAACUACUAACUAUUACUAAAAGAUUCAAUCUCUUGCAGCCCAAAACAUGGCCCAUAAGCGGCCCAUAUUUCGUAUCAUUAGCAACUGAUGUGAGACGGAUCUAGACGAACACCAAGUUGGGAUGAUUUGCGGAACUUUGACCCUUCUAGAAUCACGAGCCACGAACUAAGGAGAUUCCUUAACCCACGACUAGCCACUUUAGUGAACCAAAAGUAUAGAUAGAAGAACGCCACAAUCAAGGAGACGAGUUGAUUGAUAAGUUCGUUGAACAACUUGAGAUUGAUUCUCAAGUAUUCAAAGGAAAUUCUCUUGAAGCAAGAGAGAGUGAAUAAACUCACGAAUAUGUUAUAUAAUCUGAAUUCUGUCCUUUAAUGAAUGAAAACCUAGGCUAUAUAUAGCCUUACAAGACAAAACCCUAACUCCGCUAGGCUAGGCCUUUGGUCCGAUUCCACUACUCAAAUCCACUAUCUAAUGGUCAGCUUAUAAUUGAUCCAAUGAAGGCUUUAAGCUGGCCCAACAUAACCCAAUAAAAGCUAAUUAACCAACUUAAGUUAUAGUGAGCCUAGACUCUAUAAAUCGGAUCCAACUCAACAUGAGGUCUUGGACCGAAUUUAUUCCUAGCAAAUAAAAUAGAAAUCUAGAAAAUAAACUACCAACUAUUACUAAAAGAUUC
rnacentral:lncRNA from 1 species